rnacentral:tRNA from 2 species
GGUUUCAUGGUGUAGGGGUUAGCGUAAGUUUUCACUCGAACUGUAGACUCGGGUUCGAUUCCCGAUGAGACCU